GUCUGAAAUGCAGAAGACAGAAGAUGAGCUCUGGCUCUUCACCUGCAUGGCUGGUGGCAGUGUGGCCUCAGUCUUCUGGGGCUUGAGGAGCUCUGACACUGGUCAGGUCAGAGGCACCCACUCACCCACUGCUGCCCAUAGCUGUCUUCCACAUCGUUGAUCCAGCGGUCAUCCCAGUCCACUCGGAGGCCCAACAGGUGAAGUGGGAGGAAGCCGUUCUCAGCCAGAAUCACAAAGUGAAGUAUACAAAAAUAAAGAUUCCCAUCUGAUAAACAAAUGUUAACUGCUGCCUUGAAGAAUGGUAAUACUGAUUCUGUGAUGCUGGGAUUGGGACACACACUGGAUAUUGGUCCUGAGAAUUUGUUUUCCCAACGCCAGCCUCAUGGAUUUCGGGAGCACAGUGCCAGUGAAUGAAGACACAGCUCACAUCUCACUACUGUCGAUCUGUGGCGGUUGUGACACUCACCAUGUCAGUGCCCAAGUCAAUGCAGAGGAUGGUGACAGUCCCCAGUGGUAGUGGAAUGUUUGCAAUAAUAAAUAUCAGGAACGGG
rnacentral:sRNA from 1 species